GACGAACGCUGGCGGCGUGCUUAACACAUGCAAGUCGAACGGAAAGGCACCUUUGGGGGUACUCGAGUGGCGAACGGGUGAGUAACACGUGAGUAACCUGCCCUUGACUUCGGGACAACUUCAGGAAACUGGGGCAAAUACCGGAAAGGAAUCCUUGCCGCAAGGAGGGGGUUGGAAAGCUUCGGCGGGUUUGGAUGGACUCGCGGCUUAUCAGCUUGUUGGUGGGGUAGUGGCUUACCAAGGCUUGGACGGGUAGCCGGCCUGAGAGGGCGACCGGCCACCUUGGGACUGAGGUACGGCCCAGACUCCUACUGGAGGCAGCAGUGGGGAAUAUUGCACGAUGGGCGGAAGCCUGAUGCAGCAACGCCGCGUGCGGGAUGACGGCCUUCGGGUUGUAAACCGCUUUCAGCAGGGGCGAAGCUUGUGGUGACGGUACCUGCAGAAGAAGCACCGGCUAACUACGUG
rnacentral:rRNA from 1 species